AGAGAAAAACGACUAGAGGCAAGUUUUAAGGAUACGAGAUGCGUUUAUUCUCACAGCUGUUAAUUAUAAAAAAGAUACCAAGUAAAAAAAGUAGAGUCUCAUAGCUCAGCUGGUUAGAGCGCUACACUGAUAAUGUAGAGGUCGGCAGUUCGAGUCUGCCUGAGACUACUAAUUUUUUUAUUUAUUGGAAAUUUUGGAAGUUGAGUUAUCACGUUAAGGUGAGCCGUUUUUGAAGCUGUUAACUUAUAACUGUUAGCUGUUAACUAUAAAAAAACGGGGAAUUAGCUCAGCUGGCUAGAGCGCCUGCCUUGCACGCAGGAGGUCAUCGGUUCGACUCCGAUAUUCUCCACAGAUAAAGCCUUAAUAUUAAGGUUUUUCAAAAUGGGAUUUUGAGGUUGGCGCGUAAGCGUACUCCGAAAAAGUUCAUAUUGACAACGUUCAUUGACAUAUUGAAAAAAGAUACAUGAAAUUAGAUAGAAAUAUUUAAUAAAAGUAAUAAUUAUUGUAACGAGCAAUAAUUUGUAUUAAAGUAUUAAUUAUGAAAUUCUCAUAUUAAUUUUUUAAUAUAUAGUAACUCAUUAAAAAGACAAAAAGUAC
rnacentral:misc_RNA from 1 species